UUCUGCUUUUUCUUCUCUGUUUUCUUCUUCAUCAUCUCUCUGCAGUAGAAAUACAAUUUAGAACUUGACUGAAAUUUUGCUCGGGUAAACUGACAAUUUUGAUGCAUGGAUUUGCUGCUGAAUUUAGUAUUGGUUAGUCGUAAGAGCAGAGUGAGGGAAUAUUUUCGUGUAUGUUCUCAAUUUGAGAGUUAUAAGAACAGAAUCGGAGGUUUAUGAAUGAACCUUGUGAAGUACAUGGUAAGUGAAGUUAUCGAUGCCUGAUGUUGUUGAUGUUGGGGUUCAAUAAGCGGGGGAGGGGAUUCCUACUCCCAGUUUUAAGUUUUGGAACUUUUUUGAGGAGAGAAAUAAAGAGCUAUUGACGGCACUAGGAGUUGGUGACUAAAAUGGUAAGGUUCGUGCUUGGAGGGUGGUUGACAAAUUGUCUCAACAAAAUCCCUUGUGAUUUGAAGGAACUAAUGCACGGACUCUUCGGCAACACCCUUGUAGUAUGUUUUAACUGGCAGUACUCAAUUCUAGCCAUCACGGGGGUUGGACAUCUAAAAUGGUAUUGCACUUUGAAUUUUAUUAUCUAGUUUAGUGACUAAUAUGUGGUCUUGUGUGGGAAUGUUUGCAUUUUUACUCAAGACUGGCUUUAUGGACUAAGGCAAAUGUUUAAAUGGAAUUAUUGCAAGUAUAUCACUUGGUCGUUGAUGGAUUAGCACGGUGCUCAUUUUAUUCACAAUUUUUGUGUACACUUGGUUUAUUUUGUCUUAUCAUCAAAUGCAGUGGCUUAGUGUCCGAAUUGAGAAUGAUUAGAUGCGUAUGGGGUUGCUAAUGUUUCUUCUAAUUAUCGAGGUUCAACUGUAUGUACUGAUGGGUAUUUUUAUUAAAACCGUACCGUCGUUCUGAAAGCCUGUAUGGUCUGGUAGCUUGAUAAAUUUAAUCCUGGUAUGAAAUGAAAUUCUGAAA